rnacentral:rRNA from 1 species
GGUUAAGCGACUAAGCGUACACGGUGGAUGCCCUGGCAGUCAGAGGCGAUGAAGGACGUGCUAAUCUGCGAAAAGCGUCGGUAAGGUGAUAUGAACCGUUAUAACCGGCGAUGUCCGAAUGGGGAAACCCAGUGCAAUUCGUUGCACUAUCGUUAACUGAAUACAUAGGUUAACGAGGCGAACCGGGGGAACUGAAACAUCUAAGUACCCCGAGGAAAAGAAAUCAACCGAGAUUCCCCCAGUAGCGGCGAGCGAACGGGGAGCAGCCCAGAGUCUGAAUCAGCUUGUGUGUUAGUGGAACGGUCUGGAAAGUCCGACGGUACAGGGUGAUAGUCCCGUACACCAAAAUGCACAGGCUGUGAACUCGAAGAGUAGGGCGGGACACGUGGUAUCCUGUCUGAAUAUGGGGGGACCAUCCUCCAAGGCUAAAUACUCCUGACUGACCGAUAGUGAACCAGUACCGUGAGGGAAAGGCGAAAAGAACCCCGGCGAGGGGAGUGAAAAAGAACCUGAAACCGUGUACGUACAAGCAGUGGGAGCACCUUCGGGUGUGACUGCGUACCUUUUGUAUAAUGGGUCAGCGACUUAUAUUCUGUAGCAAGGUUAACCGUAUAGGGGAGCCGCAGGGAAACCGAGUCUUAACUGGGCGUUAAGUUGCAGGGUAUAGACCCGAAACCCGGUGAUCUAGCCAUGGGCAGGUUGAAGGUUGGGUAACACUAACUGGAGGACCGAACCGACUAAUGUUGAAAAAUUAGCGGAUGACUUGUGGCUGGGGGUGAAAGGCCAAUCAAACCGGGAGAUAGCUGGUUCUCCCCGAAAGCUAUUUAGGUAGCGCCUCGUGAAUUCAUCUUCGGGGGUAGAGCACUGUUUCGGCUAGGGGGUCAUCCCGACUUACCAACCCGAUGCAAACUACGAAUACCGAAGAAUGUUAUCACGGGAGACACACGGCGGGUGCUAACGUCCGUCGUGAAGAGGGAAACAACCCAGACCGCCAGCUAAGGUCCCAAAGUCAUGGUUAAGUGGGAAACGAUGUGGGAAGGCACAGACAGCCAGGAUGUUGGCUUAGAAGCAGCCAUCAUUUAAAGAAAGCGUAAUAGCUCACUGGUCGAGUCGGCCUGCGCGGAAGAUGUAACGGGGCUAAACCAUGCACCGAAGCUGCGGCAGCGACACUAUGUGUUGUUGGGUAGGGGAGCGUUCUGUAAGCCUGCGAAGGUGACCUGUGAGGGUUGCUGGAGGUAUCAGAAGUGCGAAUGCUGACAUAAGUAACGAUAAAGCGGGUGAAAAGCCCGCUCGCCGGAAGACCAAGGGUUCCUGUCCAACGUUAAUCGGGGCAGGGUGAGUCGACCCCUAAGGCGAGGCCGAAAGGCGUAGUCGAUGGGAAACAGGUUAAUAUUCCUGUACUUGGUGUUACUGCGAAGGGGGGACGGAGAAGGCUAUGUUAGCCGGGCGACGGUUGUCCCGGUUUAAGCAUGUAGGCUGGUUAUCCAGGCAAAUCCGGAUAAUCAAGGCUGAGGUGUGAUGACGAGGCACUACGGUGCUGAAGUAACAAAUGCCCUGCUUCCAGGAAAAGCCUCUAAGCAUCAGGUAACAUCAAAUCGUACCCCAAACCGACACAGGUGGUCAGGUAGAGAAUACCAAGGCGCUUGAGAGAACUCGGGUGAAGGAACUAGGCAAAAUGGUGCCGUAACUUCGGGAGAAGGCACGCUGGUGUGUAGGUGAAGUCCCUGCGGAUGGAGCUGAGACCAGUCGAAGAUACCAGCUGGCUGCAACUGUUUAUUAAAAACACAGCACUGUGCAAACACGAAAGUGGACGUAUACGGUGUGACGCCUGCCCGGUGCCGGAAGGUUAAUUGAUGGGGUUAUCCGUAAGGAGAAGCUCUUGAUCGAAGCCCCGGUAAACGGCGGCCGUAACUAUAACGGUCCUAAGGUAGCGAAAUUCCUUGUCGGGUAAGUUCCGACCUGCACGAAUGGCGUAAUGAUGGCCAGGCUGUCUCCACCCGAGACUCAGUGAAAUUGAACUCGCUGUGAAGAUGCAGUGUACCCGCGGCAAGACGGAAAGACCCCGUGAACCUUUACUAUAGCUUGACACUGAACAUUGAGCCUUGAUGUGUAGGAUAGGUGGGAGGCUUUGAAGCGUGGACGCCAGUCUGCGUGGAGCCAACCUUGAAAUACCACCCUUUAAUGUUUGAUGUUCUAACGUUGGCCCCUGACCGGGGUUGCGGACAGUGUCUGGUGGGUAGUUUGACUGGGGCGGUCUCCUCCCAAAGAGUAACGGAGGAGCACGAAGGUUAGCUAAUCCUGGUCGGACAUCAGGAGGUUAGUGCAAUGGCAUAAGCUAGCUUGACUGCGAGCGUGACGGCGCGAGCAGGUGCGAAAGCAGGUCAUAGUGAUCCGGUGGUUCUGAAUGGAAGGGCCAUCGCUCAACGGAUAAAAGGUACUCCGGGGAUAACAGGCUGAUACCGCCCAAGAGUUCAUAUCGACGGCGGUGUUUGGCACCUCGAUGUCGGCUCAUCACAUCCUGGGGCUGAAGUAGGUCCCAAGGGUAUGGCUGUUCGCCAUUUAAAGUGGUACGCGAGCUGGGUUUAGAACGUCGUGAGACAGUUCGGUCCCUAUCUGCCGUGGGCGCUGGAGAAUUGAGGGGGGCUGCUCCUAGUACGAGAGGACCGGAGUGGACGCAUCACUGGUGUUCGGGUUGUCAUGCCAAUGGCAUUGCCCGGUAGCUAAAUGCGGAAGAGAUAAGUGCUGAAAGCAUCUAAGCACGAAACUUGCCCCGAGAUGAGUUCUCCCUGAGACUUUAAGUCUCCUGAAGGAACGUUGAAGACGACGACGUUGAUAGGCCGGGUGUGUAAGCGCAGCGAUGCGUUGAGCUAACCGGUACUAAUGAACCGUGAGGCUUAACCUU